UUCAUACUCCCUCCAUCCGCUAAUACUUGUUGCAAAAAUGAAUAAAAAUGGAUGUAUGUAGAACUAAAAUAUGUCUAGAUACAUCCAUCUCUCCGGCAAGUAUUUACAAACAGAGGGAGUAUCUC
rfam:Triticum aestivum genome assembly, contig: Triticum_aestivum_CS42_TGACv1_scaffold_130893_2BL